CAGCGCCAUCUAGUGCUCUGGAAGACAUUUAUGCCACAACACAGAAAUGAAACAAACAAAAUAUAAAAAAAUAUUAAAAGCAAACUGAACUUAACAAAUAAAAAAGCUGUACUCAUUGUCCAUCCUAAAAAACAUCUGAGAUGUAUCAGACCAGACUGUAGACCUGUACAAUCUGCUGGCAGGUUAAGCGGUUCUCCCUUGUCUUGUGCUUCGCAAACUUUGCUACAAUCACAAAAUUUUACAGUGCAAACACUUACAUGGUUCCACAAAUGUUGUGCCACAAUGAAAGGACUACACUAAUGAUCUGCAGCCCCAAGGCAUGUGCACCAUAGCAUGUGCUCUAGCCAUCAUGACUAAGGUAAGCAGGGCAUCCUGGGUCACAUGCCUGCUGUUGACUCUUGCAUUGCAUCAUUGGUGGUUUUGCCAGAUGAAUAGUUAGAUUCAGAUGUACACUGCCAAAGUGCAGAGCAGGUACAAGGAAGGUAUUCUCAAGACAGCUAAUGAUGUUGCUACAUGCGUGGAACAGGCAGGCAACUUGCUAACAAUUUCUCUACUCCUGUUGGACUGAUUGUUCUAAUCAUCGACAGUUGAAGGCUUUGUGAAGGACCCGAUUGAAACCACACUUCUGGUAGUAGGACUGUAAGAUACACCUGUAUCUGUCAGUCUAGUCUUUGAAUGAUGAAAAAGGAGACAAAGUGAACAACCUCAUAUUUAUACCCCAUGGCAACAGGACAUGGACAAAGGCAGCAACAGUUUGUGAGAACUGAGAUAAAAAUAAAAAUCGUUUUAGAAGGUUGACAACUUUUUGCAUCUUUCCAUUAUUGCAUACUAUUGUUGAAUUUAUUUUUUUUUAUUGGACAUAUGCAAAGGCAAUUUGG